ANCAACAGUUCUACAUCAAUUCUGACGGGACAAUUGUAUCAGCUGGUGACAGACAGAAGGUUUUGCAAAUGGUUAGAGGAAAAGUCGUGGUGCGACCAGUGAACAUUUCGAGGAAUGUCGAUCACAUUUUCAACAUCGAGCAACUAUUUUAAUAAUAAAAUAACUUAUUAUUAUGAUAUUUCCAGGUUUUCUCACUUUUUGUUGAAGAAAAAUUAUCAUUUAAGAUUGAUACACUUCUACGUGCAUUUAAAACAGUUCCUGGAAUAGGUUUCAACACUUCGACUUGGAUAUCUGCAAAACAUGAAGUGUUUUCUCUCGUUUAAUCGUAUUAGAGCCUGUUUUUCCCACAGUUAGAAACACAAAUGUCCGAAUUCGUAGAUGGGGGCUUUGCAGGAAUUACUUUCUGCGCGCUCAGCAAAGCAUUUGAUCGUGUUUUAGACAAUACUCUCCAUAUUAAGCUAGAACACAAUGGUUUCAAUUCUCCCAGGUCAACCUAUUCAAAUCCUACUUAAAUACCAAAACUCGAGAGUGUCUAUCAUAACAAUACAUAUUUUGAAGUAGGAUACGUCACAAAUAAAACCGUGUGAUGGUAGACAAACUUACAAUCAACAAUAUUAAAAUAUCACUAUUUAAUAGAUUUGUACACAUAUAAGUACAUGAAAAUACUUAUUACAUUUAUAUUCAUACAUAUGAGCAAACACAUUUUCAUUUUGCAUCAAUAAAUUCUUUGAAACCAUAGUAACAUUUGUCUCGCAAUUAUACUUUCAAUUUUGA